GAUGAACGCUGGCGGCGUGCCUAAUACAUGCAAGUCGAGCGAACAGACGAGGAGCUUGCUCCUCUGACGUUAGCGGCGGACGGGUGAGUAACACGUGGAUAACCUACCUAUAAAACUGGGAUAACUUCGGGAAACCGGAGCUAAUACCGGAUAAUAUAUUGAACCGCAUGGUUCAAUAGUGAAAGACGGUUUUGCUGUCACUUAUAGAUGGAUCCGCGCCGCAUUAGCUAGUUGGUAAGGUAACGGCUUACCAAGGCAACGAUGCGUAGCCGACCUGAGAGGAUGAUCGGCCACACUGGAACUGAGACACGGUCCAGACUCCUACGGGAGGCAGCAGUAGGGAAUCUUCCGCAAUGGGCGAAAGCCUGACGGAGCAACGCCGCGUGAGUGAUGAAGGUCUUCGGAUCGUAAAACUCUGUUAUUAGGGAAGAACAAAUGUGUAAGUAACUAUGCACGUCUUGACGGUACCUAAUCAGAAAGCCACGGCUAACUACGUG
rnacentral:rRNA from 1 species